rnacentral:lncRNA from 1 species
AUAAAGUAUUUUCAUUCAAAACAAGGCAUAAAACAUUCCAAGUGUCAUGUCAGAAUACAAAUCAUAUGAAUCCCAAGAUCACAAAACAUCUAUCAGUGUGUACAGAUCAUGUCGGCGCCUUCCCACGGUCCUCGUUAGUACCUGAAACACAUACAUAACAACUGUAAGCAUAAAUGCUUAGUGAGUUCCCCAAAAUACAACUUACGCACAUACGCCUUUCCAGGCCCUGACCUUCCGGUCCAUGUGUCUCAGGGGACUUCCGUCUCUGCUGGGUAAACCUUCCGGUCCUACCCACGCCAACCUUACGGUCCAGAUUACACGCCUUCCGGCCCAUAACAUAAUGCCUUCCGGCCCACAUAAACAUACAUAGCACGCAUAACAUUUAUCUUAUCACAUAUCGCACAUAUAUCACAUAUCAUAUUCGACCUUCCAGUCCACAGUCAAACCCUUCCGGGUACGGUAUAGUGAGAAGACUCACCACGUGAAUAUCGAAAGCUAGCAAAUCCCGAAGUCACUCGUGCUCGAUCCGCCGAGCUACAUUCUCCCUAUAACACCAUACAUCUCUUAUUAACACUUUUAUCUUCUAAGUUUGACUAUCCCUAAGAAGUCAAACAUAGGUCAACUCUGGUCAACGGUCAACUUGACCGGACUCGGCGACCGCUAGGACGACUCGGCGAGUCUAGACGUCCUCACCAAUUCUCUAAGAUUCCCUUUCUACACGUCGAGUAUCCCCCUUGACUCGACGAGUUCCUCCUGGAAGAAUCGCGGGGCCACCCCGACUCAACUCGCCGAGUCUGAAGAACAACUCGGCGAGUCCCAGUUAAUCUUCAAGCUACUCGCCGAGUCUGUUCAUCGGACUCGGCGAGUCCAUGCCAUGCAACCGCUCAAACUGCUUUCUAAGGUCAGAUCUGCUCCGACAAUUCAUAGGUCUGGCCUUCCUAGACUGGUUCAUCACGUAAAGUCCUCAUUUCGGUGCUCAUAAUACACCCCAUGACUCAUAAUUUACGUUUUGACCUAAGGCAUAAGGAUUCCAAUCCAAAACCUCCAUUGAUUCCCGAAAAGCUCAGGCAUGGGACAUUCUGGACUUCCAAGGGUCCCAAUAUAGGGUUCCAAUCGCUUGGGGGACUAAGGAAACACUCAAUCUAGCCACAAAAGGGUUCAAUAAACCCUAAAUCCAUAUACACAUCAACAUAGAAGGGAACAACUCGAAAAUAUUACCUGAAUAACGUUGCUCUGUGUCCCCAACCCUCAGAAUAUGGCUUCUCCUGUUGUUCCCUUAACCAAGCCUCCUCCUCCUUGCAAAAUAACACUUCCAAGAUCAAUAAUGGUCUUCUACCUUGCUCCAGAUGCUCACAAUCGAAUUAGGGUUUCACUCAAAGGACUAGGGUGAACAAUGACGGCCAUAAGGCCCCUUAUAUAUGUCCCAAACCUGGGAAGUUAGGGUUUCGCUAAACAGCGCGGACUCGCCGAGUCCAUAUCCGGACUCGCCGAGUCCAGUCGCGAACCCGCGACCAGAUCCGCGAUCCUACUCGGCGAGUCUGAGCUCCAACUCGCCGAGUCCCCUCUUAAAACACCCAAAAUCAUAAAUAUAACAAUACCUGGAAUUCCGGGCUGUUACAAAUCUCCCCCACUUGGACUAGACUUCGCCCUCGAAGUCUCACUCUGAAAAUAGCUCCGGAUGCUGCUCCCGCAUCUCACGCUCCGGCUCCCAGGUCAUUUCCGAUCCCUUCCGGUGCUGCCACUGAACUAACACCAGAGGUAUCUCCUUAUUCCUCAGAACCUUGAUCUUCCGAUCUCUGAUGGCCACUGGUCUCUCGGCAUAAUUCAGGCUCGCAUCCACCUGAAUGUCCUCUAAUGGAACCACUGCCGACUCAUCGGCUAUACACUUUCUCAAUUGCGACACAUGAAAAGUGUCGUGGAUCUGUCUCAAUUCCGUUGGCAACUCCAAACGGUAGGCCACCCGUCCUACCCUCGCAAUCACACGAAAAGGCCCAAUAUACCGGGGCCCCAACUUGCCCCUCUUCCUGAAUCGAAUCACUCCUUUCCAAGGAGAGACCUUCAGGAGUACGAAGUCGCCGACCUGAAACUCAAGCUCGGACCGGCGUCUGUCUGCAUAACUUUUCUGUCGGCUCUGGGCGGUCAAUAACCUCUGUCUAACCUGCUGAAUCUGCUCUGUCGUCUGAAGCACGAUCUCUGUACUGCCCAUCACUCUCUGUCCCACCUCUCCCCAGCAAAUGGGGGUCCGACACCUCCUACCAUACAACAGCUCAAAGGGUGGCAUACCAAUGCUCGAAUGAUGGCUGUUGUUGUAGGAAAACUCUGCCAAGGGUAAAUACGCAUCCCAGCUACCCCCGAAAUCUAACACACACGCUCGAAGCAUGUCCUCCAGCGUCUGAAUCGUUCGCUCGCUCUGACCGUCUGUCUGGGGAUGGUAUGCGGUACUAAAAUGCAAUUUAGUACCCAGCUCCUCAUGGAAUUUCUUCCAGAAUCUGGAAGUGAAGCGCACAUCACGGUCUGAAACAAUCGAGAUCGGCACCCCAUGCCGAGAUACCACUUCUCUCACAUAUAUCUCCGCCAACUUCUCCGCUGAAGAACUCUCACUGAUGGCAAGGAAGUGAGCGCUCUUCGUCAACCUGUCCACAAUCACCCAAAUUGCAUCAACUCCUCUGGCAGUCCUCGGCAAUUUGGUGAUGAAAUCCAUAGUGAUCUGUUCCCACUUCCAUUCGGGAACCUCCAAUGGCUGCAACUUGCCAUGCGGUCUCUGGUGCUCGGCCUUAACCCUGCGGCAGGUCAAGCACCUCUCAACGAACCAUGCGACGUCCCUCUUCAUACAGGGCCACCAAUACUCUUUCCUCAAAUCCAAAUACAUCUUCGUAGCCCCCGGAUGGAUCGAAAAUUUCGAUCGAUGAGCCUCUUCCAUCAAAGUAAUACGCGUACCACCCACGAACGGUACCCAAAUCCGACCCUGAAACGUCAUAAGCCCUCGUCCAUCCGUAACGAACUCUGAAACCAAACCAACGACCCGCUCUCUCUUCUGCAUCUCUGGUCGCACAGCCUCGGCUUGUGCCCCACGAAUAGCAUCCAAUACUGUAGCUAUCACAGUCAAUCUCAAACAUACAUCUCGCUGUGGAGUGCUCUCCGCCCUGCGGCUCAAUGCAUCGGCUACCACAUUAGCCUUGCCUGGGUGGUACAGGAUCUCACAAUCAUAAUCCUUGACCACAUCCAACCACCUCCUCUGACGCAUAUUUAGGUUGGGCUGAUCCAUCAAAUACUUCAAGCUCUUAUGGUCCGUGUAUAUCGUACAUCGAACCCCAUACAGGUAGUGACGCCAAAUCUUGAGAGCGAACACUACUGCCCCCAACUCUAAAUCAUGCGUGGGAUAUCUCGCCUCAUGAGGCUUCAGCUGCCUCGACGCAUAAGCUAUCACAUGACCCCUCUGCAUCAACACUGCACCCAGUCCCGAAAUCGAUGCGUCGCAAUAUACCACAAAAUCUUCCAUCCCUUCUGGGAGAGCUAAUACCGGGGCUUCGCACAACCUCUGGCGAAGUGUCUCAAAGGAGGUCUGCUGCUCGGGCCCCCAUGAGAAUGCAACACCCUUCCGGGUCAAUCUGGUGAGCGGCACUGCGAUCUUGGAGAAAUCCUUAAUGAAUCUCCGAUAAUACCCUGCCAACCCAAGGAAGCUCCUGAUCUCAGAGGGUGACUUCGGCACCUCCCAACUCAUCACCGCCUCAACCUUGGCCGGAUCGACCAAUAUCCCUUUCUGAUUAACAACAUGUCCUAGAAAUUGGACCUCCCGCAACCAGAAGUCACAUUUGGAGAACUUUGCAUAAAGCUUCUCCGACCUCAAUACCUCAAGGACCUCCCUCAAAUGCUCCUCAUGCUGCUCUCUAGAUCUAGAAUACACCAGAAUGUCGUCGAUAAAUACAAUCACUGACCGAUCCAACAUCGGCCUGCAUACCCUGUUCAUGAGAUCCAUGAACACAGCCGGGGCAUUGGUGAGCCCGAAAGGCAUCACCACAAACUCAUAAUGCCCAUAUCGCGUCCUAAACGCUGUCUUCUGGACGUCCUCAUCCCGCACUCUCACCUGAUGGUACCCUGACCUCAGAUCGAUCUUGGAAAACCAAGAUGCUCCCUGCAACUGAUCGAAUAAAUCAUCGAUCCUCGGUAACGGGUAACGGUUCUUGACCGUCAACUUGUUCAACUCCCGGUAAUCAAUGCACAUCCGGUGUGAACCAUCCUUCUUCUUGACGAACAGAAUAGGUGCUCCCCACGGCGAGCUGCUCGGCCGAAUGAAUCCCUUCCCCAGCAACUCCUGAAGCUGCGAGGACAACUCUUGCAUCUCUGGAGGUGCAAGACGAUAAGGCACCUUAGCAAUAGGCGCGGCCCCCGGAACCAGAUCGAUACCAAACUCUACUUGCCUCACAGGAGGUACUCCCGGCAGCUCCUCGGGGAAAACAUCUGGAAACUCACGCACCACUGGGACCUCCUCAACUGAUCUCGGUCUCUCGGAAACCUCCCGCGUAUCCAUCACAUACGCCACAAAACCCUUACAGCCCUGCUGUAGACACUGCCUCGCCCUAGCGGCCGAACAAAAAGCUGAUCCCGAACGGGUACCCUCGCCGUACACCGAAAGAACUCCCCCACUAGGGUCUCGUAUAGUCACCAGCUGACGCUCACAGUCGAUGACGGCGCCGAAUCGGCUCAACCAGUCCAUGCCCACAAUGACACAGACAUCACCCAUCGCAAUAGGAAUCAGAUCAAUCGGAAAAUCAACCUCGAAAAUCUCUAACACACAUCCCUGGAGAAUCUCCGUGGCACAAAUCACUCUCUCGUCAGCUAUAGAAACUCUCAGAGGCCGACUCAACGACUCAGGACUAACGUUGAUAUGCUGACUAAAAGCCAAAGAUACAAAGCACCGACUCACACCCGAGUCAAAUAACACUAAAGCAGGCACAGAGUUCACAAGGAAAGUACCUACGCAUAUCAUAACAUAAGCAUAACAUCUCGACAUCAAAAUAAAUACAUGAAAUAAAGCAUACCUGCAACAACAUCGGGCGCAGCGCGGACCUCCUCCGCAGUCAGCUGAAAGGCUCUCCCACGAGCCCUCGGGGCCUCGGCCUUCACCGGUCGAGUCUCAGUAGCCCUGGCAGUAGGUGCAGAUCCCUGAAGAAGCUGAGGGCACUCGGCCUUCCGAUGGCCUGUCUGGUUGCAAUGAAAGCAAACCAUAAACCCCUUGGGGCAAUCCCUAGCGAUGUGCCCCUCCUUGCCACACUUGUAGCAAGCACCAGAUCGACAUGUCCCCUCAUGACCCUUGCCGCACUUUCCGCAAGUGCGGCCCUUCGGACCUCCCGUCCUCGAAUCGGCGGACUUAGUCCGCUUGGCUGCCGGCUGAGACUGAGCCGGCCGCCGGUCCACCCGCUGAGACUCGGCCUCCUCCCUGGCCUGGGUCUCCAACUCGAUCUCGCGCUUCCUGGCAUUCGCCUGAAGCUCAGCAAAGGUAUGAUAGGUGGAGUUUGACACAAACUCCCGGAUAUCCCUCCUCAAAACACCCAAGUACCGGCUCAUCCGAGCCUGCUCUGUGGACACCAGCUCGGGGCAGAACAUCGCCCUCUCAUGAAACUUCCGCGUGAUCACCGCAACCGAAUCAGUACCCUGCUUGAGGGUCAAGAACUCCUGAACCAAUCGUUCCCUCUCCACCGGGGGAACGUACUCGUCUCUGAACAUAGAGGUAAACCUCUCCCAUGUCACUGCUGAAAUCUCUGCCAAAGUGAAGUUCGCCGUCACGAACUUCCACCAAUCCUUCGCUCCCAGACGGAGCUGGUUCAAAGCGAACCGUACCCUCAGAUGCUCCGGACAUGAACAAGUGUAGAAGCACCCCUCAAUAUCAGCGAUCCACCUCAUCGCAGCAAUCGGAUCCUGCGUCCCAUCAAACUCAGGUGGCUUCGUGUUGCUGAACUCCCGAAACAGCAACGAGUCACCCCCCUGUGGCCUGGCAGCGGCCACAGCUGCGGUAGCUGCAGUGGCUGCAGCCUCAGUCAAUGCGGCGUACCGCUCAUCAAAAGUCUCCAUCAAGGUGGUCUUAAUAGACCCAAACAUCUCCGGAAUCUCAGCCCGGAUCGCUGCAGCCACCUCCUCAUGAAUCAUCUGACGAAUCUCCUCGUCACUCACACCGCUCGUACUCGGUCUGUGGCGUGGUCUAACCAUGAUGUCUCUGAAAUACAACAUAAAACUAUCAGAGACUCCAUCGAGUAUAAUCGCACUCGAUAACGCAACCCUACUCAGUCUCCGAUAUCCAGGGAUUCUUACUUGGGUCUCCCACUGACCCGGUGUCUUCGGUAGUACGGGCCCAAUACUACCGACCACACCGCAUCAGCAUUCAUCCCAAAUCUUCCUCCCCAAACCCCGGAUAGUGAGUACUCUACUUUUGAUAUGCACUAUCUAUCUGCACGCUAUCAAAGCAUCUCAUAUCGGCAAACUUCCCUAGACUAAGGCAUCACAAAUCAGGCCACUCUAGUCCUAUCAUGAAUACCUAGUCUUCUAGCAUGCAUAACAGUUCACAUCAUAUCUUAUCUCUUAACAUAACAUUGUAAGGUAUUUUGGGGAUCUUUACCGUUCGGGCGCUGACUGAUCGUACACACUGCUUCUUUCUUGUUUACCACAAAAUUAUUUACAAAAGUUUAUGCCUUUAUUUUAAAAGUUUUCCUCAAAUCCUCGGUUUGAGUUCAGUUACGCCCGAAGGUGCACCCGAAUCCCUCAAACCAAGGCUCUGAUACCAAUUUGUAACAACGUAAAUUUUCAAACAAAUUUUUCAUUUCAAAAUAAAGUAUUUUCAUUCAAAACAAGGCAUAAACAUUCCAAGUGUCAUGUCAGAAUACAAAUCAUAUGAAUCCCAAGAUCACAAAACAUCUAUCAGUGUGUACAGAUCACGCCGGCGCCUUCCCACGGUCCUCGCUAGUACCUGAAACACAUACACAACAACUGUAAGCAUAAAUGCUUAGUGAGUUCCCCAAAAUACAACUUACGCACAUACGCCUUUCCAGGCCCUGACCUUCCGGUCCAUGUGUCUCAGGGGACUUCCGUCCCUGCUGGGUAAACCUUCCGGUCCUACCCACGCCAACCUUACGGUCCAGAUUACACGCCUUCCGGCCCAUAACAUAAUGCCUUCCGGCCCACAUAAACAUACAUAGCACGCAUAACAAUUAUCUUAUCACAUAUAGCACAUAUAUCACAUAUCAUAUCCGACCUUCCGGUCACACAGUCAAACCCUUCCGGGUACGGUAUAGUGAGAAGACUCACCUCGUGAAUAUCGAAAGCUAGCAAAUCCCGAAGUCACUCGUGCUCGAUCCGCCGAGCUACAAUCUCCCUAUAACAUCAUACAUCUCUUAUUAACACUUUUAUCUUCUAAGUUUGACUAUCCCUAAGAAGUCAAACAUAGGUCAACUCUGGUCAACGGUCAACGGUCAACUUGACCGGACUCGGCGAGCGCUAGGGCGACUCGGCGAGUCUAGACGUCCUCACCAAUUCUCUAAGAUUCCCUUUCUACACGUCGAGUAUCUCCCCUGACUCGACGAGUUCCUCCUGGAAGAAUCGCGGGGCCACCCCGACUCAACUCGCCGAGUCUGAAGAACAACUCGGCGAGUCCCAGUUCGACUCAGACCACCUGUUAACCCUCUCUAACUCGCCCUGACUCACCGAUCCAACCCAUAACCCGGACAGGACCAUUCUAAGGCAAUCUUCAAGCUACUCGCCGAGUCUGUUCAUCGGACUCGGCGAGUCCAUGCCAUGCAACCGCUCAAACUGCUUUCUAAGGUCAGAUCUGCUCC